rnacentral:rRNA from 1 species
UACAGAGGUCUCAAGCGUUGUUCGGAUUCAUUGGGCGUAAAGGGUGUGUAGGUGGCGCCGUAAGUCGGGUGUGAAAUUUCGGAGCUUAACUCCGAAACUGCAUUCGAUACUGCCGUGCUUUGAGGACUGGAGAGGAGACUGGAAUUUACGGUGUAGCGGUGAAAUGCGUAGAUAUCGUAAGGAAGACCAGUGGCGAAGGCGGGGUCUCUGGACAGUUCCUGACGCUGAGGCACGAAGGCCAGGGGAGCAAACGGG